rnacentral:rRNA from 1 species
UACGUAGGGGGCAAGCGUUGUCCGGAAUCAUUGGGCGUAAAGCGCGUGUAGGCGGCUCGAUAAGUCUGCUGUGAAAGUCCAGGGCUCAACCCUGGAAUGCCGGUGGAAACUGUCGAGCUAGAGUCCGGAAGAGGAGAGUGGAAUUCCUGGUGUAGCGGUGAAAUGCGCAGAUAUCAGGAAGAACACCCGUGGCGAAGGCGGCUCUCUGGUACGUGACUGACGCUGAGACGCGAAAGCGUGGGGAGCGAACAGG